rnacentral:tRNA from 1 species
GACCGUGUGGCCUAAUGGAUAAGGCGUCGGACUUCUAAUCCGUAAAUUGCGGGUUCGAGUCCCGCCUCGGUUA